rnacentral:rRNA from 1 species
AACGUAGGAGACAAACGUUAUCUGGAGUUACUGGGCGUAAAGGGCGCGUAGGCGGCCUGCUAAGUCGAACGUGAAAUCCCCGGGCUCAACCCGGGAACUGCGUCCGAUACUGGUGGGCUUGAAUCCGGGAGAGGGAUGUGGAAUUCCAGGUGUAGCGGUGAAAUGCGUAGAUAUCUGGAGGAACACCGGUGGCGAAGGCGGCAUCCUGGACCGGUAUUGACGCUGAGGCGCGAAAGCCAGGGGAGCAAACGGG